UUCUCUUCGCCUCCUGACGCAGUUUGUUUUCUCCGUCCUGAAGGUGGUAAGGUGCAGACUGCGUCAUGAGUGGUUGUAAGGAGACAGAGGAGGGAAUUCCUCUCUCUGUCUACAAGAUCCAGACCAAAGCUUCAAGCUGCAGCCCAGAGCAGCAGCAGAAACUAGAUCCUCCUGAACCGUCCUUCAAGAGUCAGCGG